GAUGAACGCUGGCGGCGUGCCUAAUACAUGCAAGUCGAGCGAACGGACGAGAAGCUUGCUUCUCUGAUGUUAGCGGCGGACGGGUGAGUAACACGUGGAUAACCUACCUAUAAGACUGGGAUAACUUCGGGAAACCGGAGCUAAUACCGGAUAAUAUUUUGAACCGCAUGGUUCAAAAGUGAAAGACGGUCUUGCUGUCACUUAUAGAUGGAUCCGCGCUGCAUUAGCUAGUUGGUACGGUAACGGCUUACCAAGGCAACGAUGCAUAGCCGACCUGAGAGGGUGAUCGGCCACACUGGAACUGAGACACGGUCCAGACUCCUACGGGAGGCAGCAGUAGGGAAUAUUCCGCAAUGGGCGAAAGCCUGACGGAGCAACGCCGCGUGAGUGAUGAAGGUCUUCGGAUCGUAAAACUCUGUUAGUAGGGAAGAACAUAUGUGUAAGUAACUGUGCACAUCUUGACGGUACCUAAUCAGAAAGCCACGGCUAACUACGUG
rnacentral:rRNA from 1 species